GAAUAAUAGAGGACUUAAAAUUUUUUUUAAUUAAAAAAAAGAAUGAUCGUAAAAAUAGUAAAAAUAUAUCUAGGACUUUCUCUGGUUUUGUUGUCGGUAUUGUGGGUUCAGUUCAUUUUCGGCUAGUUCCUUGGUCCGACUUAUAUUUCUCAAGAUCUAUAGGCCCCUUCCUAUGUAGACGGUACUAACCACAGGGUUUUAAUCUAUUGCCUGUAGCUUCCAAGGCGGUUCCCUCUGUUAAAGCUUCUUCUGUUUGCUGGUCUCUUCAGUGUCUGGUUUCUGCCCUGACACAAAGGGGACAGUGGAGGACACUUUUUUUUUUUUCUUAGGCUCACUUGUUCAGUCGCGCUGUGGGGAGGGAGGGAUGCUGCAAACAAAUAACACUGGCGUGUGCUCACAGUGCCUCAGCCACACUGGGUCGGCCCCCGCUCACGGCGCGUGUAGCCUCCCUGCCCACACUGCUCAGGCAGAUGUUGACCGUCCAGACCCCCAAGAAGUCUUAGUUAGCAAAGAAGCCUGCUUACAGUUUUAUAGAUAAUGUCUCUCUGGGGCUGUGAUUGCCCCCUUCCGGCUCUGGCUUGCCUGUCACCGGAGGGGGAUGGUCUGCAGCCAGCUAUCUCUGUUCAGUCCUUUGUUCUGUGCGCGGGCCUGGCGGUGUCUUAGGUUAGGGCUGGCUUUUCGCGUGGUAGAUAUCCCACAGUCUGGUUUGCUAGCCCAAAUUAUUUCGCUCAGAUAGCUCUCGGGGUAUUCAGGCCAGAUCCUUACUCUAAGCGAUGCAGCCUGCGCCGCGCCUCCCUGCCCAGCCCCCGCUUGCUAAUGGCGUGUGCAGGCGUCUGCGCCGCUUCUCCGCUGGGGGAGUUACCGUAGGGCUUGUAAUCUGCGGGUUUUAAUUGUUUGUUUAUUUUUCCUCCCAGUUACUUUGCCCUCUGUGCUUCCAAAGCUCCGCACAGAUUCGGCAGUGAGAAGGUUUCCUGGUGUUUGGAAACUUCUCUCUUUUUAAGACUCCCUUCCCAGGACGGAACUCUGUCCCUCCCUCUUUUGUCU
ensembl:lncRNA